UGUGUACUCUCUCCGUCCCAAAAUUCUUGUCUUAGAUUUGUUUAGAUAUGAAUGUAUCUAGUCAAGUUUUGGUAUUUAGAUACAUCCAUUUUUAGACAAAGAUAAGACAAGAAUUUUGGGACGGAGGAAGUAUUUC
rnacentral:pre_miRNA from 1 species